rnacentral:rRNA from 1 species
GGGUGCGAUCAUACUAGCACUAAUGCAUGGGAUUCCAUCAGAACUUCAGAGUUAAGCGUGCUUGGGAGAGAAUAGUUCUAAGAUGGGCUUGUUUUAUGACUUUCA